rnacentral:lncRNA from 1 species
UUGAAUUGAAUGGGGCCCGCCCGUCUCCUGGUCACAUAAAGGGCAGCGUGGAGGGUGGGGGCAGACAGGCAGUCCAUGGUGAGCCACGCGGCCUGACGUCCAGCACCGCUCGUGUGCCGCCAUCCAGAGAAAGAACUUGCACUCCAAGUCUCCAACGGCGCCCAGAUCUUCCAAAUACGCCUGCAAGGCUGAAAGGAAAUAGUAUGGGUGAAGAACCGAUGGUAGCUGGACUUGGCAGUGUACUGAUCAGCUAGCGAAGUCUUGUCAUACUUCAGCAGCAGGUUUACUGGCAGCAAACUGGAACCCAAUGCUAAAGUGGGAAAUUGUCUAAACAAAAAUAUGUAUGAGUACUGUUCUGCUCCUCACCCGAGGCAUCAAGCAUCAGAUUUUAGAAAGAACAAAUUCAGCCAGGAUCUUCAUAGGCGACAAGGCGACCCCCCCCCAGGGCAAGCUGGGUACACUUAUCGCCUAAGCGCAAGGCGUAACAAGACCCCCUCAAGGAGAGCUGGAUCUGCCCGGACACCUACACUACGCCUUUGAAACAGAGGCCUUGAUUGGGGUAACAGGACACUUAUGUACUAAUAUACACAGGGCAAACAUGAAUCCACACCAAAUCAGCUGUAUUGACUAUUGACUUAUAUAAGAGAACCAUUUGUUCACCUAGCCUUCAAAGAUGCCAUUUUGAUAUAACACUGAGCCCUAGAGUAGUCCCUCCGACCCAAAAAAAAACCAGCAAUUGUAUGGUUCAAAUUUUGUCCCAAAUUAAGUGCAACCGUAGGCAUUCUGUCAUCACCAGCUUGUGGAUCCGCUAAAAAAUCAGCCGCACACCUCCUCAACGGACGCCCAGAACCAUAAGCAUCUCGUCCACUCGUUCACCACCCCAUUCUCCAACUGUGCAGUGUACACGAUGCACCUGCUCUCCCACAUCUUCCUGAGAUUCCGGUGAGAACUUCCUGCUCCAAGACGCAGGGAAGAAACUCUAUCCUCACGCGCUGUGAGCCCGCCCAUGCCAAGCUCCCUGCCCCAGUCAUGGCCACGGCCCUUGGCAGCAUCGUCGACCUCCCUCAAGCCCCUACUGCGGAUGCCAUCCAAGCAUUCGGAGAGGAGUGGUGGUGUGUGGUCACGUGGAGUGCUUGUUCCAGCAGCCAUCAUUCACCUCUCCUUGCACUAACGUGGAGGAGCAGGGAGUUCGAUGCCGUGAUGGAGAGGCGUGUGGAUGCUAGAAGGUGGUGGCGCGUGUGGGGAUACCACGGCAUGGGAAGGGCCACAAAGCAGCCAGAAACCACCUGAAGACGAGGAAGCUUGGAAUCGGAUCCAAGCGAGCGAGCGGUGGUACUCAGGGCAAGGAUGAUGAGGUAGCUAUGGGACGCAGUCGGGAACCUUCUGAGGACGAAGAGUCUGGAAUGGGAUUGAGAUUUUCCAAAUGUAUUAUUGCAAUUUCACAUCCAUAAUUGGUAUCCAUGUCAGGUCCUACAAUCGUAUUCUUUGUGGGACCAAGGGAGUAGGUGAGUGACUUCAGUAUCUAAAAAAUUCCAUAAAAUUAGUGCGGUGAUAGCUAUAGCUAGUGGCAGUAUUUUCGUGCUUCAGCAAUGGGUUUGUUGACAACAAACUGGCCGCCUAAAUGGGUAACCAGAUAGUGAACAUACAAAGGAAUAGGGAGCUCUUCUUCACCUCAUCCAAGACAAGGAUUCCUUCUGAAAGAGCUAUCUGUAUCUAAUAAUGAUUUUAGGAUAACACCGAUGCAGCAAGCAUCAUAUUCACAUUGGGAUAAUAGGAUAUGUCCAUUCUAAUGAACAAGGCAAAAUUGCAGAGCCAAUACGACCAGGAAAUCAUUUCUUCGCCUAGCGCCCAAUAGAUCCCAUACUGAUGCCAUACUAAGCCCUAUAUAAUUGAGACUCGGCGGAGCUUCAAUCAAAGGUGAAGAACGAACUCCACCAUCUAUCGAUUACCGCGACCCCUAUGAUGAACAAGAACGAAUCUGCGCCGAUGGCAGGAGUCCUAGAAUCAAACAGCCUACCAACGGAGCAAGAAUCGCCCACUAUUCCACCAAGGCCUAUUCCAUCCAUGGUCUCCCCCCACACCAGGAACAGCACAUUGGCCUAACCGCAACGGCAGCUAGACACAAUAGUAUAACACACCAUGUCCCAAAAAGGAAGCGGCUAGACAAGCUCACCGUCGAGGGAUGGCGCACCCAGCAGGCGAGCGGCGAGGAGAAGAGUCCCGCGGCGCCGCUGCCACUCGCACGCCACCAGCCGCGCACCUCUCCUUCGGUCCUUCCCUAGGCAGUAGGCACUAGGCAAGGCAGUUCUUGGGGUUGGCAGCCAGAACCGAGGAGGACGGACGACUAGAAAACCAUUAAACUAUACGAAAAGGCUGGAGCACGAACUGAAAGCGACGCGCCGCGCCGCGUGUAUCCG